CCAUAGUAGCGGCGAGCGAAAUGGGAAGAGGCCAAACGAUCAUGCUUGCAUGAUCGGGUUGUAGGACUCAAGAAUGGACGAUUGUUGUUAGUUGAACACGUUGGAGAGCGUGGCCAAAGAAGGUGACAGCCCUGUAGGUGAAAACAACAUGAACCAAUGAGGAUCCUGAGUACGGCGGAACACGAGAAAUUCCGUCGGAAUCAGCCGGGACCAUCCGGCAAGCCUAAAUACUACCUAGUGACCGAUAGUGAACCAGUACCGUGAGGGAAAGGUGAAAAGAACCCCGGAAGGGGAGUGAAAAGCACUUGAAACCGUAUGCUUACAAGUAGUCAGAGCCCGUUAAUGGGUGAUGGCGUACCUUUUGUAGAAUGGACCGGCGAGUGACGAUUUCAUGCAAGGUUAAUCUGAAGAAGAGGAGCCGUAGCGAAAGCGAGUCUGAAUAGGGCGUGCAGUAUGAGGUCGUCGACCCGAAACCAGGUGACCUACCCAUGUGCAGGGUGAAGGUGCGGUGAAACGCACUGGAGGCCCGAACCCACGUAUGUUGAAAAAUGCGGGGAUGA
rnacentral:rRNA from 1 species